UUUUUUAAAUGGAAACUUGUAUGAAAGGUUGAAUGAGAUAUUAGCUGUUUUAAAAUAAAAAAAUAGAAUUUUAUUUUUUAGUUAAAAAGCUAAAAUAUUUAUAAAAGACGAGAAGACCCUAUAGAGUUUAAUAAUAUUCAUAAAUAUAUAUUAUAAAAAAAGAAAAAUUAAAUUUAUUUUUAAAUAAUUAUUUUAUUGGGGUGAUAGUAAAAUUUAUUUAACUUUUAUAUUUUAUUUACAUUAAUUAAUGAAUUUUUGAUCCAGUUUUAUUGAUUAAUAAAUUAAAUUACCUUAGGGAUAACAGCGUAAUUAUUUUUUAGAGUUCUUAUCAACAAAAAUUUUUGC
rnacentral:rRNA from 1 species